AACGAACGCUGGCGGCAUGCCUAACACAUGCAAGUCGAACGAGAUCUUCGGGUCUAGUGGCGCACAGGUGCGUCACGCGUGGGAAUCUGCACUCUGGUUCGGAAUAACAGUUGGAAAAGAAUGACAAUACCGGAUGAUGACGAAUGUCCAAAGAUUUAUCAUCAGAGGAUGAGCCCGCGUAGGAUUAGCUAGUCGGUGUGGUAAAGGCGCACCAAGGCGACGAUCAUUAGCUGGUCGGAGAGGAUGAUCAGCCACACUGGGACGAGGACACGGCCCAGACUCCUACGGGAGGCAGCAGUGGAGAAUAUUGGACAGUGGGCGAAAUCCUGAUCCAGCAAUGCCGCGUGAGUGAUGAAUGCCUUAGGGUUGUAAAGCUCUUUUACCCGGGAUGAUAAUGACAGUACCGGGAGAAUAAGCUCCGGCUAACUCCGUGCCAGCAGCCGCAGUAA
rnacentral:rRNA from 1 species